rnacentral:pre_miRNA from 1 species
GGAUUCUUCUAGGACAGCACAUUCUGCUAGAACGGAUUGCCGUUUGCUGUUUUGUACUGGAAGAACAUGCAGCACUAAAAAAAUGUUAUUGAU